rnacentral:lncRNA from 10 species
UGUCUGUGGGCACAGCAAGCUGACUUGCUUGCAUUCUGCCAUGCCUUCUCGAGUGGGUGAAAAACAAUUGGAAUUUCAGUGAGGAACUGGAUGUAAUAUAUGCAGUGGCUCAUAUCUACUCAGCUGCAACCCAGGAUAAUCAGCAAGUAACACAGAGAGCUGCUUCCUUCAACAGCUGCAUUCAGCACAAAACCGAGGGCCAACGCUGUGCAGAAAUAAUCCUUCAGAGGUAAGGCAUCAAGUAAAGGCAUCAGUGAUCUUUUCCAUGCAUUCCAAAUACUGUAUUGAUCCAAAUUGGAGCAGCAUCAUUCUCUACAACUGUACUGACAACAGACAGCCACAAAUGAACUAUUUAAUAUGGCAAAAAGCACAGUUAUCUGAGGCUUCUAUUAUUAGCACCAGUUCUCGACUCACUGGGAAAACUCUUCUUCCACUUGUUAAUGCGACAGUUUUAUUUGUUUGGACACAGCUUUCCAUCAUCGUUCUUCCCACCCCGAACUUCCCUUUACCCCCCAGAUGUCUCCAGAUGGAGGUGUUUCCAGCUGGCCGCCGUUCAGCAGAUCUCCAGUCCGUCUGCCCGUGAGAGUCCCAGGAAAGCUGCCGUCUCCAGCAUGUCCCUGGUAACUGAGCCACCCGGGCUUUGCUCUGGACUCCUACGGAGUCCCUGCAGAUCCCCAGGACCAGACAGGCUCUGCUCCCUGGGUUCCUCUCUCCUUGCUUCCCUCCUCUUCCCUCCCCUCCCCGGGGCUUCCCCAUCAGUGUGGAUUCCCCGACCUCAUAAGGACCUGACGGUCUAUGCUGGAUGGAAGCAGCAAAACGGACCCUCUCACUCUUGCCUUCUCCCCAGCACCAAGGAGAGGCCCAGUAAAUCCGGCUGGAUAAGCAAAGUAGAAACUUGAGUGGAUGGAGGAAAGAGGACGGGAGGGCGGCAGCAGGAGAAAAGUGGGGCCCACAAGGUCAGCUACUGGUCCAUGAAGUUUGACGGUGAAGGACGCAGAGGAAUCGAGGAACCGUGAGAUAGCACCGCAGAGUGAAGGGAAGCCUGACAACACUGGGGCCAAGCCCAGCAAGUUUGAAAGUGGAAGCUAAGGAGCCCUACGGGACAAAGUUGGCGAAGGCGGUGAGGGCCGUAGAGUUGAAGGAUGGGUGCUGAAUCACAAAAGGCAGCGAGAAAGAAAAUAUGUCCAGAGGGACAAAGGAAGCAGGCAUCUGCAGGUCUCAGUGUUGUACCUGCCCUGAACCUGUUGUCAAUACGUGAUUGAAGGGGAGAGGAAGAAAUUGUGGUUGCUUAUCUCAGGCGGCCUCAGUCUUGUUGGGCCAGUACCAGGUUAGGUCUUCUGAGAAAUGGAUAUUGGAAGUCAAGGGCCUGUGAAGAAAUAUGCUUGUUUAUAUAUUAGUUAGGAUCAACUAAAUACCAUAAGAAGCAGAGCCCACAUGCAAAGGCUCCACAGUAUAACCUCUACCUUACUGAAAUCUAAUUAUUGCUCACUUGACAGUCCAGGAUGAGUGUUCAGGUCAGCGGGUGGUUACUUUCUUUUUGGUCAUUCAGGCACUGCUUUGGUUUGAAUGUCUGUCGCCUCCAAAACUCAUCCUGAAACUUAAUUGCCAAUGUGGCAGUAUUGAGAAAUGGGCUUUUAAGAGAUGAUCACUGGGUCAUGAGGGCUCUGUCCUCAUGAAUGGACUCAUUAUUCAGGCGUUAAUGGAUUAAUGGAUUAUCACAGGAGUGGGACUGGUGACUUCUUAAGAAGAGGAAGAGACCUGAGCUAGCACACUGAGCCCCCUCACCAUAUGAUGCCCUGUACCACCCCGAGACCGCAGAGAGUCCCCACCAGCAAGAAGGUACUCAGCAGAUGGGACCCCUUGACCUUGGACUUGACAGCCUCUAGAGCUGUAAGAAAUAAAUUCUUUUUCUUUAUAAACUGUCCACUUUCAGGUAUUCUGUUAUAAGCAACAGAAAACUAAGAUAGGCACCUAGGCUUUGCCAUCCCCUAAUGUCCUAAGAAAGGGGAAAGAAAAUGGAGGAGCAUGAAGAGGACAUUCCCACGGACCUAGCAUGGAAGUAACAGUUCUGCUCACCUUCCUUUGGAGAGACAGUCACACAGUCUCACCCAACUGCAAAGAAGGUUGGAAAGUGUAGUCUAGUCAUGUGCCCACAGAUAGGGAAAUACAGAGACUAGCAGGUAGUUAGUGUGUCUUCACCACUGUGGUAGACAAAAUAAUGGCCCCCAAAAGAUGUCUACAUCCUACUCCCUGGACCCUGCGAAUAUGUAUUACAUGGCAGACGGAACUUUAUGGAUGUUCAGGAUCUUGGAAUGUUAUUCUGGAUUAUCCCAGAGGGCCCAAUGUAAUUACAAGGGUCCUUGUAGGUGAACGAAGGAGGCAGGAGAGUCAGUUUCAGGGUGAUGCAGUAUGAGAAAGGCUUGACCACCCACUGCUGGCUUUGAAGAUGCGGGUGGGAGGAUAAGCCAAGGGAUGUAGGCAGUCUGUAGAAAAGACAAGGAAGGGGUUUGCUUCUAGAACCUCCAUAAAAACACAACUCCUAGGCCAGGUGUGGUGGCUCAUGCCUGUAAUCCCAGCACUUUGGGAGGCUGAGGUGGACAGAUCACCUGAGGUCAGGAGUUCGAGACCAGCCUGGCCAAUGCGGUGAAACCCUGUCUCAACUAAAAAUACAAAAAUUAGCUGGGCAUGGUGGUGCACGCCUGUAAUCCCAGCUACUCGGGAGGCUGAGGCAGGAGAAUCGCCUGAACCUGGGAGUCAGAGGUUGCAGUGAGCUGAAAUUGCACCAUUGCACUCCAGCCUGGGUGACAGAGCAAAACCUCAUCUCAAAGCAAAAAACAAAAAACAUAACUCUUGCUGGUUCCUUGAUUUCAGCCCAGUGAGAUUCAUUUCUAGUUUAUUUUUUUCUUUGAGACAGUCUUGUUCUGUCACCCAGGCUGGAGUGCAGUGGCAUAAUCAUGGCUCACUGUAGCCUCAACCUUCCUGGGCUCAAGUGAUCCUUCCACCUCAGCCUCCCAGGUAGCUGGGACUACAGGCGUGCACCACCAUGCCCGGCUAAUUUUUGGAUUUUUUGUAGAGAUGGGGUUUCACUAUGUUGCCCAGGCUAGUCUGAAACUCCUGUGCCCAAGCAAUCCUCCUGCCUUGGUCUCCCAAAGUUCUGAGAUUACAGGCAUGAGCCACUGCACCUGGGCUUCCAUUUCUGAUUUCCAAAACUCUAGGAUAAUAAAUUUACAUUGUUUUAAGCCACCAAAUUGUAGUAAUCUGUUACAGCAGCAAUAAGAAAUGAAUACAGCCAUGCUUGAUAAUUCCUUUAUCAAAAGCUACCUAUUGGUGUUAGGAAGUCUUGUUUUAAAUUUGAAGACAGUGUUUUCACUUUCCAUCUUGUGCACUGACUACCUCAUGACCCCUUAGGUACCAGUCAGGACUGGCAGACUUUAAUGUGGAGAACUUCUGAAACAGCAGGUCUCAAAAUGUUAUCUGCAUCACCCAGGAACUUGUAACCAUGCAAAUUAUCAGCCACCCAGACUUACUGGAUCAUAAACUGUGGGGCCCAGCAGCCUGUGUUUUAACAAGCCCUUCAGGUGAUUCUGACACUUGCUUAAGUUUGAGAACCGCUGUUCUAGGAGCUGGUCCUGCAGGGAAAGGGUGGCCUCUCAGUUCAGGUUCCAGUGUGGCUGGGGGUGGGGGUUAAGGUGAGGGUUUGGUUGUUGUGUCUGGCAAUCAGCCAGGCUCCAAAGGGACUGUUUACAAGGCUGCACUUUCCAUGUUCUGGUCAGCAGUCUCAUGGUUCAUUCCAUGUUAUGAAUGGACUGUCACCCCAAAAUUAAUGUUGAAAUCUAUUUCCUGGUGUGAUAGUAUUUGGAGGUGGGGCCUUUGGGAGGUAAUUAGGUCAUGAGAGUGGAGCCCUCAUGAAUGGAAUGACUGCCUAAGAGAACAGAGAUGGCUCACGCCUGUAAUCCCAGCACUUUGGGAGGCUGAGGCAGGUGGAUCACGAGAUCAGAUCGAGACCAUCCUGGGCAACAUGGUGAAAACCCGUCUCCACUAAAAAUACCAAAAAUUAACCAGGCGUCGCAGUGGGUGCCUGUAGUCCCAGCUACUUGGGAGGCUGAGGCAGGAGAAUGGUGUGAACCCGGGAGGCGGAGCUUUCAGUGAGCUGAGAUCGUGCCACCACACUCCAGCCUGGGUGACAGUGAGACUCCGUCUCAAAAAAAAAAAAAAAAAGAGAGAGAGUUAGCUUGCUGAUUUUCUGCCAUGUGAGGAUACAGUAAGAAGGCAGCCAUCUGUACCUUCUAAGAGGACCCUCACCAUAACCUGACCAUGCUGGCACCAUAGUCUCCAGACUUCUAACCCCCAGAACGAGAAAUAAAUUUCUCCACAGUUCUACUGAAUGGUGUAUUUUCUUUUUUUUUUCUCUCUUUUUUUUUUUUUGAGAUCAGAGUCUCGCCUCUAUUCGCCCAGGCUGGAGUGCCAGUGGCGUGAAUCCUGGCUCACUGCGC